CUCAUGGGCACCUGACCUCAGGAUGAGGUUCCAGAGCUCCUGCCUGUCACUACACACACAGAGUUCUCUCUCCAUGCACUACUGAAAUUCCAGCAUGUGACCAUGUGCAGCAACAUGAGGAAAGAUACCAGGAAUACAACAGUAGCAGUACCAGACAACUAAUAAUAACCAAGCAGAUAUAGCAUCUCUCCAGGGCUCUUCACGGCUUGCUUCCAAAUGGUGAGGCCACGGGUGGCUGGGGAAGGCUGCCAACAAGAUGACAUCUUCACAGGUCAUGCUAAAGGCUUCAUCACAGCUCUGUGCUCCUAGAAAUGAGCAAGGGAUGGAUUUUCACAGACUGGUAUUUCUGGAUGGGCUUCAACUUAAUUUUUUUCUUCAUUAAUACUACCUGAGGAGUGAGAUCAUGACUCAGGUUUAAUACACAGUGUGCAUUUAUCUCCAGAAGAUGCUGCUCCUGGUGUCCUCAGGCUGGUGUCAUUGCUAGCCUGCCAGAAUGAAUCACUUGCUAAUUUUGGAGCAAAUGCACAGAAACAGCCUGGUUUUCAGAAGGUGCAGAUCCAGUGUCGGGCCACUGAGAGCAAGCGUGCUGGCAAGCAUCCUGCAGGCACAGUGUGGGUGUCUGCUUACCCUUUGUGCAGUGAAACUUCCGUGCCUUAGAUUCCUGAUCACCAUGAGGGCAGACCAGGAUGGAGCAAAUGCAGUGGGUUGGCACAAACAGCUUGGUUGCCAGCUUGCAGGAUAAACAGCAAGUGUGGUAUUGCAGGCUGGCAAGGGAUAUACAUGGACCACCCAAAAAUAAUAAUUUCUACCUCUUACAAUCCAGACCAGGGCCUGGCCAGAGAGUCUUCUUACUGCCAUUGCCCGCUCACAGGGAAAGGGGCUUUUUCCAGGUAGGCUGGAGAGGGAAGGCGAGUUGGGGCUGGCAGAGCUGGGGCUGCUGUGCUGAGCCACGUCCUUGUGCCAGCCUGGACGCAGAGGGAGUGGUGCCUCCUUCACAUGGCCACGUCUCAGCUUUUGGGAAGUGUUUACACAGAAACUGACGACAGCUGAAAAA